AGCACCUACGGGGCGCAGCAGUAGGGAAUUUUCGUCAAUGGGCGCAAGCCUGAACGAGCGAUGCCGCGUGAGUGAAGAAGGCCUUCGGGUCGUAAAGCUCUGUUGCGGGGGAAAAAAGGCAGCAUCAGGAAAUGGGUGCUGACUGAUGGUGCCCCGCCAGAAAGUCACGGCUAACUACGUGCCAGCAGCCGCGGUAAUACGUAGGUGGCGAGCGUUAUCCGGAAUGAUUGGGUUUAAAGGGUGCGUAGGCGGGCUUUUAAGUCAGCGGUAAAAAUUCGGGGCUCAACCCCGUCCGGCCGUUGACA
rnacentral:rRNA from 1 species